rnacentral:rRNA from 1 species
UACGGAGACUGCAAGCGUUACUCGGAAUCACUGGGCGUAAAGGGUGCGUAGGCGGUUGGGUGUGACUGACGUGAAAUCCCGGGGCUUAACCUCGGAACUGCGUUGGUUCCUACCCAGCUCGAGUGUCGGAGAGGCAGGCGGAAUUCCCGGUGUAGCGGUGAAAUGCGUAGAUAUCGGGAAGAACACCAAAAGCGAAGGCAGCCUGCUGGACGACAACUGACGCUGAGGCACGAAAGCGCGGGUAGCAAAAGGG